AGCAGCAGCCGCGGUAAUACCGAGGGUGCGAGCGUUAAUCGGAUUUACUGGGCGUAAAGCGUGCGUAGGCGGCUUCUUAAGUCGGAUGUGAAAUCCCUGAGCUUAACUUAGGAAUUGCAUUCGAUACUGGGAAGCUAGAGUAUGGGAGAGGAUGGUAGAAUUCCAGGUGUAGCGGUGAAAUGCGUAGAGAUCUGGAGGAAUACCGAUGGCGAAGGCAGCCAUCUGGCCUAAUACUGACGCUGAGGUACGAAAGCAUGGGGAGCAAACAGGAUUAGAGACCCCUGUAGUCCCUGUCUCUUAUAC
rnacentral:rRNA from 1 species